rnacentral:lncRNA from 1 species
AUGUUGCGGCAUGGGGGCACCAGGGUGAUGAACACAGACGAGGUGACUUUCUCGAGGCCAUUGCUCCGAGUCCUGGGUUCUCAAAUCCUGGAGGAGCUGAGGUUCUGCAGGUCCCAGAAGCCUGCUGCAAGCGUCCCGGAUGGCCCACUGGACCUGGACAACGAGGAUGCCCUGGGAGACCUGGACGCCCCCACCUCCGCUGCCCCCUGCGGCCUUCAGCCUUCCGGUGCCCGCACCUGUCGCUGGCUGGCCCGCUGGAGGCGUCACUCACCUUGGACCUGGAGCAGCUGCACCUGCACCUGCCGCAGCCCCAGAACUCCAGGCCCCGGCAGAGCCCCCGCACCGCAGGCCCAAGGAGUUGGAGGAGGAAGAGCCACAGGAUCGGUAAGAUGGCGGCGCACAGGGUGGAGGCCGCCAUCUUGGACUAGAGAAGGUGGGCUCUUCACGAUGACCAUUAUUCCAGUGACGAGGGGGCUUUGGCAGGGGGCAUAUCAUCGACAGGAGUUUGUCCAGAGACAUUAACAGCAACCAGAUGUUAUUUUAUCCUUUAUUUGGAUAUACAAAGUUACCAAGUUCCUUAUCUUUCAUAAAUGGUAAGUUGAGAGUAUCAAAUACAUUUAUUUUGUGCCUCUAUAAACAGUUAAUACCAGGGACUCUCAGUGCUCUUUGUAUUAUUAGAAACAGGAAAUCCUUAGGGUGAGGAUGUAGUUCAGUGGUCCAGCAUGGUCCAGCAUACAAGAGACCCUGUGUUUGAUCCCAGCACUGAACCAAAAAUUCACAUUUUUAGAUCUUGCCUGUGUAGACAGGUAAUUUCAGAAAUCCAGAGCCAAUCAAAG